AAAAAGGAUUAUAAAAGUAAUUUAUUUAUUUAUUGUUUUAGUAUUUAGUAAAAAAUAAUUUUUAGAUUUAUAGUUUAAUAGUAUUGUAAAARAAAUAAUUUUUAUAUUAAAAARAAUUUUUUUUAGUACCUUUUGUAUCAGGGUUAAUUAAAAUUGUUAAUUUAUAUUUAAUUUCUCAAAAUUUAUAGAGUUAAUUUUAUUAUUAAUUUAUUGUAUUAUAAAUAUUUAUAAAAUAAUAUUAGUUUUGAUAUUUAAUUCGUUAUAUUAUAUUUAGUUAUUUAAGAUUUAAAUUUAAUUUAAAAUUUUAAAAGUUUUAUUAAUUUUAUUAAUAUAAAUUUUAAAUUUAAAUUAUUUUAGGGAUAAGCUUAAAAUUUAAAUAUAUUAAAUUUUUAAUUUUAAUAAUAUUUAGGAAUAGAAAUUUUUAUUUAAGUUUGUAAAAAUUUAUUAUUUAAUUUAUUUUAAUUUAUUAUAAAUUUAAUUAUUUUUAAUAUUAAAUUUUUUAAAAUAAUAUUAUAUUUAAAGUAAUAAUGAUUAAAUUAGUAUAAUUUAAAUUUGAAGUUUAUGAAUUUGGCAAAAAUUAUUUUCAUCUGUUUAACAAAAACAUUGUAUUAAGUUUAAUUUAAUAUAGGAUCUGCUCAAUGAUUAAUUAAAUAGCUGCAGUAUUUUGACUGUGCAAAGGUAGCAUAAUAAUUAGUCUUUUAAUUGAAGACUAGAAUGAAAGAUUUGAUGAGAAAUAAACUUUAUUAAUUUUAUAAUUAAAAUUUUAUUUUUAAGUAAAAAAGCUUAAAUAUUUUAAAGGGACGAUAAGACCCUAUAAAACUUUAUAAAUUAUGAAAUUUAAAAAUUUUGGUAAAUAAAUAUUUAAAUUUUAUUUUUUUAUUUUAUUGGGGUGAUAAAAAAAAAAUUUAAACUUUUUUUAAAUUUUACAUUAAUUAAUGGUUAAUUGAAUUAAAAUUUUUAAUUAAAGGAAAAAGUUACUUUAGGGAUAACAGCGUAAUUAAUUUUUGAAGUUCAAAUUUGAAAGUUAGUUUGCGACCUCGAUGUUGAAUUAAGAUUAAUUUUAGGUGCAAAAUUUUAAAUUUUAGGUCUGUUCGACCUUUAAAUUCUUACAUGAUUUGAGUUCAAACC
rnacentral:rRNA from 1 species